rnacentral:lncRNA from 1 species
GAAACAGGCAUAUGGUUGUGGUGGAGACUGGUGCUCCAGAGACAUGGCAUUUGUAUGUAAGUAUCUCAGAAGACAAGACUCAGGAUUCUGAGUGUGCACUGUGACACCAAGCCAACUUGUGAUGCUCUGCCUAAUUCUGGCCUGUGGAAUGACUAUAACUUUCCUUCUUGGUGUCUCUUUAAAUCUUCAUUCUAAUCUAUUUUAUUCACACCAAGGCUCUGAAGUUGUGGGAAUCAUGUGGUUGCAUUCCAUGUUCUGAGAAGAUAACUCCUAGUAGCAGGAAUCACACCAGGGUCUGCUCUGUUCAUCUGCCCCUUUAUUCUGCUGUGAGUACCUCCAUAAAUGUGGGCUCAAAUCCAGUGCUCAUGGUAGACAGCAAGCCAACUAGCCAACUGUCAAUUACUAAUAACUCAUACCAUCAAUGUCUUAUAUAACUUGAUCAAGCAAGCAGUCAAUCCAGUUAAAAUUCAGACCCAAACAAAAUAUGAACAUUUGGAGCAUAUGCAUUCUGAGAAUGUACUAUGUAGAGCCCCUAAGCAAAACAAGCAAGUUUUUCUUAGUUUUAAUUGAGGUCUAGUUGUGCUCAGACACUUUGGAGAGACUAUGCUACAUUCUCUGACAUCCCUAUCCCAUAGUCAUGCUAAGUAGUUGUCUUUCUUAGGGUUUCUAGUGCUCUCAAGAGACACCAUAAUCACAGCAACUCUUAUAAAGAAAAGCACUUAAUUGGGGCUGGCUUGUAGUUCAGAGUUUU